UGAUGCGGGGGCUCAGUACUAUAGUGAAGGCAAAGAAAGAAUUAAUGUCAUAUCAACCAGGGUCUACUUCCACUUAAGGUUGGAUGUUGCCGAGGAGUACUUCCACUUUUGAAAGUCUCUCUCGCAGCAACGCGCGGGCAUUGUCCUAGUCUAUACCUAAUAAUAAAAGCAAAAGGGUUUCUCCCUCGGUCGUUUUUACCUUUUCCGAUUUUACCCCUCCACUUGUAGUAAUUACGGGGUAAUGCCACCGCCAAGUGAAGUUUGCUUUUGUUCGGUCAACGCCCGAAACGUCGAGCCAUGACUCCAUGAGAGCGCCCCGCCCAGCCCCGCCCAGCGAGGUACGGCCGGCGUUUACUGCCCCCGCCCACCUCCGUCGGCAAGGUACGUCUUGGCUUCCCCGCCGCGCCCCGCCCCCAUGGCCUCCCAUCCUAGCUCCGCAGUUUCGACCCUGCGAAGGGGAGACGGCCGGAGCCGGCCGCACAUGCCGAGCGGGCGGCGAGGUCACCGCCGGUAAGCCCCGUGCCCCUCCUCCUCCGGCGCGGCACGGACUGGCUCCAUCCGAGUCCCCGGAGCCCCCCGUACCCAUGGCCGCCCAGAAAUCCCGGCUGCAGCCUCGAUCGAUCCGCCACCAGCUGACUUCGUGGCGCCGCCGCACCUCCCGACUCGGCUGCUGAUUUUUUGGUUGAUGCGCUUCUUCAAUUUUUAUACAUUAACGGAAGAGAAACUUCUCGAUGUGUUGCCGAGUAAAGAGAAACUUCCCUGUUUUUCUCUCUGGUUUAAUGAUGUGUUCAGAGUAGCUCCUGAAUCAUGCGUAAUACGCAUCAGUGCUAAUGGCGGGAUUUGCUUCUUUUUCAUUCUUUCUUGUGGAUAAUGGCAUUACUCAUGUGUGUCUGAAGGCCUGAGUGCUUCUUUUUUCAUUCGUUCUUAUGCACAAUGGCACUGCUCAUCAGCUCAUGUGUGAAUGUUAUGUCUCCGUUUCAACUUCAAGUGCUACUCAUGGAGGCCAGCACCAUAAUUGCAGGUUCCAGCAGCCUCGUCUUUCCAAAUCGCACAUACCCUAGCCCGGCAAUCUUCAAUUAUGCAUGCAAAAUUCAGAGGCACUUGUUCAUCUAAACACUGCCAAUCUGGGACACCCCGUCAUCUGUUCUUGCCAUCUUCUCCUUUCGUACACCUAGGCACUUUGGAUGUGUUUAUUUGCAUUACUCAGCUAGCCUAUUCCGGUGGUUAGUUAUAAAAUUUUAUAAAUUGUUCUCAGUAGUGUCUUACUUUGUUGGUCGUAUUUCUGUGCAUAUAUGUAAAUUUUGUGGUUAACUGAUCUUGUCGUGGCCGACUGUCGGCAACGUGUUCUACCGAAAUUGACCAAAACAUGUAGAUUUUCGGAGUUCAUCAUCCUUCUCCCGGACUACAGCACGCAGCCCAAGGCGACGCAACAAACCCAGAGAACUCACCGCUGUUGACAGGGUCAGAGGAACUCGGUCUGUUUGAGCAGGAGAGGGUUUGGAGAGCUGACUGAGCUGUACAUCUUUAGCCCAGGAUCCAAGUACGAGGGGUAUGGAAAAACACAGUGCGCAAGGGGUGUUGGCGCCAGGGUUAGGGGCUCAGUGCCUUCGGCUUUGCGACCUGAACAUGUCCGCUGUAGACAUAGGCCUCUUCUGGAUGAGGAUGACCCUGCCUGGAUUUGUCACACCGACCGUUUGUACAUAUAUUGCUCAUGGGCAAGAUAAUACAUGUGAAACAGGGACAUAAGUACAUGUUUUGACGUUAUCAAAAAAUGUUUUCGCUUUCAUCAAGUGAUGUUGGCAUU